CCUACGGGCGGCAGCAGUGAGGAAUAUUGGUCAAUGGGCGGGAGCCUGAACCAGCCAAGCCGCGUGAAGGAAGAAGGUACAUCGUAUUGUAAACCUCUUUUGUCAGGGAACAAAGGCGGGGACUAGUCCCCGGAUGAGGGUACCUGAAGAAAAAGCAUCGGCUAACUCCGUGCCAGCAGCCGCGGUAAUACGGAGGAUGCGAGCGUUAUCCGGAUUUAUUGGGUUUAAAGGGUGCGCAGGCGGAAGUGCAAGUCAGCGGUAAAAUUGCGGGGCUCAACCCCGUACGGCCGUUGACACUGCAUCCCUUGAGUGCGCGAGAAGUAUGCGGAAUGCGUGGUGUAGCGGUGAAAUGCAUAGAUAUCACGCAGAACUCCGAUUGCGAAGGCAGCAUACCGGCGCGCAACUGACGCUGAUGCACGAAAGCGUGGGUAUCGAACAGGAUUAGAUACCCGGGUAGUC
rnacentral:rRNA from 1 species